rnacentral:rRNA from 1 species
UACAGAGGGUGCGAGCGUUAAUCGGAAUUACUGGGCGUAAAGCGUGCGUAGACGGUUAUGUAAGUCAGGUGUGAAAGCCCCCGGGCUCAACCUGGGAAUUGCAUUUGAGACUGCAUAGCUAGGGUGCGGAAGAGGGAAGCGGAAUUUCCGGUGUAGCGGUGAAAUGCGUAGAUAUCGGAAGGAACAUCAGUGGCGAAAGCGGCUUCCUGGUCCAGCACCGACGUUCAGGCACGAAAGCGUGGGGAGCAAACAGG